UACGGAGGGUGCGAGCGUUGUCCGGAAUCAUUGGGCGUAAAGGGCGCGUAGGUGGCCCGGUCAGUUCGUGGUGAAAGCGCGGGGCUCAACCCUGCGUCGGCCAUGAAUACUGCCGCGGCUGGAGCACUGUAGAGGCAGGCGGAAUUCCGGGUGUAGCGGUGGAAUGCGUAGAUAUCGGGAGGAACACCUGUGGCGAAGGCGGCUUUCUGGGCCUUACCUGACGCUGAGACGCGAAAGCGUGGGGAGCAAACGGG
rnacentral:rRNA from 1 species